ensembl:misc_RNA Metazoa_SRP Metazoan signal recognition particle RNA
GUCGGGCAUGGUGGUGCAUGCCUGUAGUCCCAGUUACUUGGGAGGCUGAGACAGGAGAAUUACUUGAACUCGGGAGGCAGAGGUUGCAGUGAGCCAAGAUUGCGCCACUGCACUCCAGCCUGGGUGACAGAGUGAGAGUCUGUCUCAA